UACGGGGGGAGCAAGCGUUGUUCGGAUUUACUGGGCGUAAAGGGCGGGUAGGCGGCCACCGCAAGUCAGUUGUGAAAUCUCCGGGCUUAACCCGGAAAGGUCAACUGAUACUGCGGGGCUAGAGUGCAGAAGGGGCAACUGGAAUUCUCGGUGUAGCGGUGAAAUGCGUAGAUAUCGGGAGGAACACCGGUGGCGAAGGCGGUUCUCUGGGCCUGUACUGACGCUGAGGAGCGAAAGCGUGGGGAGCGAACAGG
rnacentral:rRNA from 1 species